GCUGAUAUAAUUUAAAUGGUUAAAAUUCACUUUUCAUGAGAGUGUUAUAAAGGUUCAAUCCCUUUUAUCAGCU
rnacentral:tRNA from 2 species